AUUGAACGCUGGCGGCAUGCCUUACACAUGCAAGUCGAACGGCAGCACGGGAGCAAUCCUGGUGGCGAGUGGCGAACGGGUGAGUAAUAUAUCGGAACGUGCCCAGUCGUGGGGGAUAACGUAGCGAAAGCUACGCUAAUACCGCAUACGAUCUACGGAUGAAAGCGGGGGAUCGCAAGACCUCGCGCGAUUGGAGCGGCCGAUAUCAGAUUAGCUAGUUGGUGGGGUAAAAGCUCACCAAGGCGACGAUCUGUAGCUGGUCUGAGAGGACGACCAGCCACACUGGAACUGAGACACGGUCCAGACUCCUACGGGAGGCAGCAGUGGGGAAUUUUGGACAAUGGGCGCAAGCCUGAUCCAGCAAUGCCGCGUGCAGGAUGAAGGCCUCGGUUGUAACUAGCUUUGUACGGUAACGAAACGGUGAGCUCUAAUAAGACUUGCUAAUGACGGUACGUAAGAAUAAGACACCGGCUAACUACGUAGCACG
rnacentral:rRNA from 1 species